AGAUUGUAGUUUUUGUUUUGGCCAGAAAGGCUUACCAUGAGUUGCCAGGGCUGAGAGAGAUGGAGAAGGAUUCGCGGCGGUGACAGAUUAAAUUCCCCAGUUACAUUAUAGACUUGGAGGUGGGGGAUCUUCUCAUCGUUAGAGGCCCUGAUCAUGGGAGAUAGGCGGUUCGGAGCCAGUCCUGCCUAACUUUGUGUUCACUAAUGUUAGGGCUGCAAAGGUGGGCACCCCUACUCGUCUAAGAGCUUUCUCCUCUCUUCUCUUUUUCCCUUUUGUCUCUCUCCUUACAUCACCUGCCCACUGAGUAGACUUGUCCUUGUGUGAACGGGAGCCGGAAAGCCUUGAGAACUUAUUCCUCGACCCGGACAUGGCACAGGAGAAAAUGGAACUAGGUUUCAAGUCGCUGCCGAGUUCCACUACCGCAGACGGCAACAUUCUGAGAAGAGUCAACAGUGCCCCUUUGAUCAAUGGACUUGGACGGAGUCUCACUGUGUCGCCCAGGCUGGAGUGCAGUAGCGUGAUCUCGGCUCACUGCAACCUCUGCCUCCCGGGUUCAAGCGAUUCUCCUGCCUCAGACUCCCGAGUAGCUGGGACUUCAGGCACCUGCCACCACGCCCACCCAAUUUUUUGUAUUUUUAGUAGGGACGGGGUUUCACUGUGUUAGCCAGGAUGGUCUCGAUCUCCUGACCUUGUGAUCCGCCCGCCAUGGCCUCCCAAAGUGUUGGGAUUACAGGCAUGAGCCACCACACCUGGCCUAAAUCUCACUUCUUAAACUAGACUUUUAAAAUGAGAUUUUGGAUUUCACAUUUCAGUAUUAUAAGGUUUUCCAGAUACCGUAAAAAUGUCUGAAAAAUGCAUUCACUACAUACGUUACUAACUUUGCUCUUCACCUUUUGUGGCAUCAUACUAAUUGAUAGUUGUAAUUCACAGUACCAUAGACUAUCAGGAAGGGAUUCAGAGACCAGCUUUACCCUCCUUGUUUAACAUGUGAGGAAACUGAGGCCCAUAAAUCUCCAAAAUGACAUGUUUAGUGACAGAGCCAGUACUAGGAACCUCUGUUUCCUGACUCCUAAACUACUGUUCUGGCCGCUACUAACCAAUACCGAAGCUGAGUAACUCUAAAUAAAUGCAGCUUUUGGGUCAUUUGAGGUAGGAGAGAAUAUAUUGUUCACAAAAUGAAAAGCAAACUAAGAUUGACCAAAAAAAAAUACAUUACCUUUUUAAAAUAGGCAGGUAGAAAAACAUAGAAGGGGGACUCUCCAUGUUGUGCUGAGAACAAGAACAUUUUAUUCACUCAGGAUUUUGCUCUAAUCCUGUUGUAGGAAUUAAGGAAUUAUGGAACCCACUCUACUAGUAGAAGACAGCAGUAGGGAGAAUGUUGGGUUUAUUGAAGACAAUAUAAAAAGAAAUAGGUUGCAAAUAGACGAUGGAAGAUGUGUACCAGAGGGAACCUGUGGAUCCUCUUUAAUGUAUUAAAUACACCAGAGAAGGAGUGGACCCUUCCCUAAUCCUCAAAGCCCUGGAAACAGAGAGAUCUCAGUUAUCCCUUCAUACCUUGCUUUGUUCUGCAAAGGAUUUUUUUGUUUUGUUUGUUUGUUUGUUUUGCUUUUAUCAUAUUAGAGCAUAGCUACAGUGUUAAAUUCCAUAGCUUAAGAUCCUGAUGCAUGAAGUAAAAUUUGUACAGAAAGAUAAGGGCCACUAGCAUAUUUCUCUAGUAGGAGUUUAAAGAUAUAGAAACCACAAAGUGGACGGAGUCCAGGGACUCUAGUCUGUCAGAAAGAAGUAACAUAGGAAUGAUGUGUGACAUCCCUGAGAUUAGGGGACUUGCCCAGAUGAUCUGAGGGCAUAUUUUGUGCUGUUGUAGAAAAUGUAGGGCAUAGUCAGAGAAGUUAUUCUGAAGCAAGAAAAAUUUAGAGUAGGAUUACACUGAGCCUUAGUUGAAUUCAUUUUCACCUCAGUUCUCAUUUGCAUAUGUAUACUGCUCACUUUUCUCCCUUUUUUUUUUUCCUUCCUUGGCCCUCUAAUACUUGUGUACUUCCUCUUUCUAAACUAUACCUGUCAGUAAAGCAUUAUUUUCAGAAAGGUGAAAGUCACUAGCGUAUUUCUUUAGUAGGAGUUAAAGAUAUAGAAACCACAAAGUGGACAGAGUUCAGAGACUCCAGUCCAUCAGAAAGAAGUGACAUAGGAAUGAUGUGUGACAUGCCUGAGGUCAGGGAACUUGCCCAAAUGAUCUGAGGGCAUGUUUUAUGCUGUUGUAGAAAAUAUUUAGCUUGCUAAACAUUGUUGCACCUCUUUCAAGUAAUUUUCGAACUUUGCUUGAUGUUUCUUCUAUAUAAAGACCCUCUUGCACCAGCAUUUGCAGAAUUAAAUUCCUUACAUUUGUUUCUUUCAUAUCAACUCUUUAAUACAGUAUUACUGUUUUAAAGAAGUAUCCGCACUGUUUUAUGUAUAUCUUGAACUAAUAAAAAUUCCAACGUCAAAA
rnacentral:sRNA from 1 species